GGGGAAUAUUGGACAAUGGGGGCAACCCUGAUCCAGCCAUGCCGCGUGUGUGAAGAAGGCCUUCGGGUUGUAAAGCACUUUAAGCGAGGAGGAAGGUCUUUGAACUAAUAUUUCAAAGAAUUGACGUUACUCGCAGAAUAAGCACCGGCUAACUCUGUGCCAGCAGCCGCGGUAAUACAGAGGGUGCAAGCGUUAAUCGGAAUUACUGGGCGUAAAGCGCGCGUAGGCGGUAUGUUAAGUCGGAUGUGAAAUCCCUGGGCUCAACCUAGGCAUUGCAUCCGAUACUGGCACACUAGAGUGUGGGAGAGGAAGGUAGAAUUCCAGGUGUAGCGGUGAAAUGCGUAGAGAUCUGGAGGAAUACCGAUGGCGAAGGCAGCCUUCUGGCCUAACACUGACGCUGAGGUGCGAAAGCAUGGGGAGCAAAC
rnacentral:rRNA from 1 species